rnacentral:rRNA from 1 species
GCGGAUCAUGGGCGUUCGGCCACUUUCCUUACCGAGCUAAAAAAUAAGGUGGAGAGGUGCACCACUCCGGUCUUGGUGGCUGGGGAUUUUAACCUCAUUAGGCGGGCUUCAGAUAAAAGCUCUCCUAAUGUUGAUCGGGUCCGCAUGCGUCUAUUUAAUGACUGCAUUGCAGACCUUGCUCUUCGUGAGAUAGCCCGUGUAGGGGCGAGGUUCAUGUGGAUGAAUAAGCAGAUAGACCCCAUUCAGAGUGUCUUGGAUUGGGUCUUUGUGUCGGCUCAGUGGGAAGUGAUGUUCCCAUUGUGCUCCCUCAAGGUCAUG